UUGAUCCUGGCUCAGAAUCAACGCUGGCGGCGUGCCUAAUACAUGCAAGUCGAACGCGAAGACCCCGCAAGGGGUUUGUAGCGUGGCAAACGGGUGAGUUACGCGUGGGCGACCUGCCUUCGAGUGGGGGAUAACCUUCCGAAAGGAGGUCUAAUACCGCAUGACAUACCGUGUUUGGAUACAUGGAUAUCAAAGCCGGUGAUCGCAAGACCUGGCGCUUGAAGAGGGGCCUACGUCCGAUUAGCUAGUUGGUGAGGUAACGGCUCACCAAGGCGACGAUCGGUAUCCGGCCUGAGAGGUCGGACGGACACACUGGGACUGAGACACGGCCCAGACUCCUACGGGAGGCUGCAGUAGGGAAUUGUUCGCAAUGGGCGCAAGCCUGACGACGCAACGCCGUGUGGAGGAUGAAGACCUUCGGGUCGUAAACUCCUUUCGACCGAGAUGAAUACCUGCCGGCUUAAUACACCGGCAGGCUGACAGUAUCGAGGGAAGAAGCUCCGGCUAACUCCGUGCCAGCAGCCGCGGUAAUAAGGU
rnacentral:rRNA from 1 species